UACGUAGGGUGCAAGCGUUGUCCGGAAUCACUGGGCGUAAAGGGCGCGUAGGCGGCCUGAUAAGUAGGGGGUGAAAUCCUGCGGCUUAACCGCAGGGCUGCCUUCUAAACUGUCAGGCUGGAGCACAGUAGAGGCAGGUGGAAUUCCCGGUGUAGCGGUGGAAUGCGUAGAGAUCGGGAAGAACAUCAGUGGCGAAGGCGGCCUGCUGGGCUGUUGCUGACGCUGAGGCGCGACAGCGUGGGGAGCAAACAGG
rnacentral:rRNA from 1 species